rnacentral:rRNA from 1 species
UACGUCGGGGGCAAGCGUUGUCCGGAAUCAUUGGGCGUAAAGAGCGUGUAGGCGGCCAGAAAAGUCAGCUGUGAAAACUCGAGGCUCAACUUCGAGCUGUCGGUGGAAACUUUCUGGCUAGAGUCCGGAAGAGGAGAACGGAAUUCCUGGUGUAGCGGUGAAAUGCGCAGAUAUCAGGAGGAACACCGGUGGCGAAGGCGGUUCUCUGGGCAUUACCUGACGCUGAGGAGCGAAAGUGUGGGGAGCGAACAGG